rnacentral:rRNA from 1 species
UACGAAGGGGGCUAGCGUUGCUCGGAAUCACUGGGCGUAAAGCGCACGUAGGCGGACUCUUAAGUCGGUGGUGAAAUCCUGGAGCUCAACUCCAGAACUGCCUUUGAUACUGAAGAUCUUGAGUCCGGGAGAGGUGAGUGGAACUGCGAGUGUAGAGGUGAAAUUCGUAGAUAUUCGCAAGAACACCAGUGGCGAAGGCGGCUCACUGGCCCGGUACUGACGCUGAGGCACGAAAGCGUGGGGAGCAAACAGG